rnacentral:rRNA from 1 species
AAAAACAUAACCUUUAGCAAAACAAAUAUUAAAGGCAACGCCUGCCCAGUGAACAAUUAAACGGCCGCGGUACUCUAACCGUGCAAAGGUAGCAUAAUCAUUUGUCUACUAAUUAUAGACCUGUAUGAAAGGCAAAAUGAGGGCCCGACUGUCUCUUAUAAUAAAUCAAUUAAACUGAUCUUCUAGUAAAAAAGCUAGAAUUACAACAUAAGACCAGAAGACCCUGUGAAGCUUAAACUAAACUAUUAAAUCAGCUAAUAACUACUUUCGGUUGGGGCGACCUUGGAAAAAAAAAGAACUUCCAAGACCCAGUACAACUGACAAUUGAACCAAGUUACUCCAGGGAUAACAGCGCAAUCCUCUUCAAGAGCCCAUAUCAAAAAGAGGGUUUACGACCUCGAUGUUGGAUCAGGACAUCCUAAUGGUGCAGCCGCUAUUAAAGGUUCGUUUGUUCAACGAUUAACAGUCCUACGUGAUCUGA